CAACCGGCCCCAGCGUAACGUCACGGUCUAUUCCUUCGAUCGUUUCGACGACGGGGUGGAAAUGAAUCUUUAACGUCACACAAGCAUGGGGGGAGGGGAGAGAUGUCGGACAUUACUCCAAUCGCGAUCGGUUCAACGCUUUAUAUCAUCGAAUUACUGAAAGGUUGGGAAUUAAUAAUGUAUAGUGAACCCUGUUGUACAAAUGAAAUAUGACUUGGAUAAAAUCACUCACGAAGUACUAGUACGUUAUCUAGUAUGUCUAUUCACUGUGUCAUAUAUAUAUAAAAAGCAGAUGUACAAGCGGAUAUGCAAAAGGAAGCUACGCAUAUACGAAUAAGAUACUCAGAAUUUACAAAACGAUACCGAUGAAAUAAAAAAAGUAGAAUGAAUAAUUGAAACGUCGCGUUACUGUGUGGUCCGAUCGAUUUGUUGCCGAUGAUUCAUAAUAUCAUUGCGCGAUCGCGGACUAGCCGCGAAUCACUCUUCAAUCACUGUGGUCUAGUAGAAAAAUUUUGAUCGAUUCUAAGGGAAUCUACUUUAUCGACCAACAGAUUGUACCUUCUUGAAGUACAUUUUAUGUAACCAAUAUGAGCUAGUUUCAAUAUAGAUCGUAUUAUAUUUUACAAGUAACUUAUAGAAAAGGUAGACCAUAAAUCUCAUGAACGAUUUACAAUACUGGUCACGCAAGCAAUUAGCCACGAACAGCGUGGGUCACCUAUAGUCGAUUCGUUGCAGGAGGCGUGGGUCACUUAAGCGAUUGAUUACAGUUACGUGGUUAACUUAAUAGAUUUCUCACGCUAUCGUAAGUCAUUUCACCAAUUUUCCGUCAAAAUCGUUUUCGUCAAAAAAAUUAUUAGUAAACAGAAACAAAAUUUCGUAUCAGGAAGAGUAUGUCACCAUAGUGAUCUUUCGCAUGAUAUUAUGAGUCAGAGUAGGUCAUGGUCGUGGUAUAAUAAUGCUAAAUCAAUAAUAAAAUGCUAAAAUUUCUUAAAUCGUCCAAAUCGGUCCUAAAACGGGACCAUUACAUGAAAUGUAUAACACGCAUCGACUAGCUUGACCUGAUUUUUCAGAUGUUACGAAAUCAUGGUUAUCGAUAUCCUGUCUGUCGUUUAUCUUCGUCUGUGUGGGAUGUAUAUCCGUAGAGAUUCGUACGAGUGUGAAUAAUUCACACACUUACUUGUUACUUGUUAGUGGAACAGUAGGGUGAGAGACUAUACAUUUUAUCACUUACGCUCCUAAUCUAUUUUCUUAAUUCUUUGCAUUGAUAUGAGGCGAUUAUGAAACGCGUAAGAUUGCGACGCAUACAAGAGGAGACGAUUGGACACAUGAAAGUGCUUCGAUACAACAUACAAGGGACUUUUGUUCAAACAC
rnacentral:lncRNA from 1 species